rnacentral:ncRNA from 1 species
UCUUAUCCUGAGACGGUGGAGGGACAGGCCCGAGGAAACCCAGCAACCUACUUUUAUUAAGUAAGGUGCUAACCGAGCAAGGUAAUCCUUGAACGAUAAGA